rnacentral:rRNA from 2 species
AGAGUUUGAUCCUGGCUCAGAUUGAACGCUGGCGGCAGGCCUAACACAUGCAAGUCGAGCGGAUGAGCAGAAUGGAGCUUGCUCUGAUUCAGCAGCGGCGGACGGGUGAGUAAUGCCUAGGAACCUGCCUGGUAGUGGGGGACAACGUUUCGAAAGGAACGCUAAUACCGCAUACGUCCUACGGGAGAAAGUGGGGGAUCUUCGGACCUCACGCUAUCAGAUGAGCCUAGGUCGGAUUAGCUAGUUGGUGNGGUAANGGCNNACCAAGGCGACGAUCCGUAACUGGUCUGAGAGGAUGAUCAGUCACACUGGAACUGAGACACGGUCCAGACUCCUACGGGAGGCAGCAGUGGGGAAUAUUGGACAAUGGGCGAAAGCCUGAUCCAGCCAUGCCGCGUGUGUGAAGAAGGUCUUCGNAUUGUAAAGCACUUUAAGUUGGGAGGAAGGGCAGUAAGUUAAUACUUUGCUGUUUUGACGUUACCGA